rnacentral:lncRNA from 1 species
CGGAACUCUUCUGGGUUCUUCCAGUUGGCUGGGUUGUUGGCUAGCCACCAAGCAUUCACUAGGAUCUUGCUCUCCGCUGGAAUGUCAUAGCCCGCAAGCUUGGCGUCGUGGAGGUUCAUGUGAGGGACGAGUAAUGGGAUGGUCAUACGAAGGCGGAGAGUCUCCUUGACCACGGCUUGGAGGUAUGGGAGCUUUUGUGUGUCUGGCUCAGUGAUUGGAACACCGGGUCCGAGUACGGUGUCGAGUUCAUUUCUUAGCUUUCUUUGGAUUUCUGGGUGGUUCACUAGCUCCGCGAUUCCCCAUUCAAUCGACCAUAAUGUUGUUUCAAUUGCUGUUCAACAAU